CUGCAUUCACUAUACACACUGCAUAACAUCGUGGAUGUGGCCGUGUAAGGGUGGCCGCGGUUUUGGUGGGCGUUUCAUCCAUCGACCCAGGCAGCACAAUGCAGUUGUAGUGUGUGAGGGAUGCAAUGUGUGUGAAGGAGUGGUGUAGGGUUUGUGUGAGAGGUGCAGGGUGUGAUAGGUGCACUGUGUGAGGGAUGCAGUGUGUGAAAUGUACAGUGUGUGAGGGG